GACAGAGGGUGCAAACGUUGUUCGGAAUUAUUGGGCGUAAAGCGCGCGCAGGCGGUCCUUUAAGUCUGAUGUGAAAGCCCACGGCUCAACCGUGGAGGGUCAUUGGAAACUGGGGGACUUGAGUACAGAAGAGAAGAGUGGAAUUCCACGUGUAGCGGUGAAAUGCGUAGAGAUGUGGAGGAACACCAGUGGCGAAGGCGACUCUUUGGUCUGUAACUGACGCUGAGGCGCGAAAGCGUGGGGAGCAAACAGG
rnacentral:rRNA from 1 species